CAAGCUGUUAGUUUCCAUGAGAUUUGGACAGAGGCAAACAACACAGCAGAAAACAGUCCGAGAAGGUACAGCGUUUGCUUCUUUCCUUGUAAGGAGGAAAGGACUUCCUCUGGCUAGCUGACCAGGAGUCAGUACUCACCCUGCUUGGAGCCAGGACCUGGAGCACACCCAGAUGCGGACCAAAACACAGCUUCAGGACCUGUGGAUCCGUGCAAACGUCUGAGGGUUAAAUGAGAUCACCUCUGUUGAAUAUCUGGAACAUCGCAAAAGCUCUCAACAAAACGCUUUCUUCAGAGAAAGAGGUGCUACAGAUGUCUAGAGGAAAGGCAUCUCACCUAGUCUGGGACGUGAAGUUCAGAAGGCUUUCUGGAAGAGGUGGUGUCUAAGCUGAGUUUUGAUGGAUGACCAGGAGAUCUAAUUAAGAAGAUUUCCAAUCAGAGUGAGAAGCAUGUGAUGUGCAAAGGUCAGGAGGUAAGGGGUUGACCACGGAUCCCUGGGAGAGUGGAAUUUUAUUCAUUUACUACUUAAUAAACCAAGUACACGUGAUGGGA